UUAACUUUUGUCUGGUAGAGGUGGAGUAGUUUGCAGCAAGACAUAAGUGUUGUUGUGAAUUUUAUAAUUAAAAAGAUAGGAAAGCACACACACACCAAUAGCCUCUCCUUGUUGCUGUCAUUUAAUACACGACUUCACCUUUCUAGGUACCAAAAAGCUGGAGUUCUAAAGCACAGCCCCUGCUGAAGAGAGAUGUGUAGCUAUAUGUUGAUAGUCCUGUAGACAGUACAAGGAUUUCUUCAUCUUUUCUUUGACGCAAUUCCUUCAAAGGUUGCAUCUAAGCUUACCUGCAAGAGAACACCAGGAGACACCCUGGAUCCUGCUCCUUGGAUAACAAGAUCAUGUGCUUAGAUUUCACCUACACAGAGACAGGCAUGUGGGAAACUGCUGGUACAUAUCCAGACGGUACACUAAUGGGAAUCCAGGAUGUGAUAUCUGCAUCUGGGAAUUCAGAAACAUUCCUGGACUUUACGAUUCAGGUAUAGUCAAAAUAAUUUCUUCCUGAGGUUACCUCCUACACUGUUUGAGUCUGAGUGUAUUUCCUGAACUGCUUACUGCUUCUUAAACAAAAUCUGGAUCUGCAUUAUUCGUGUUCAUGUCAUGUGUAACCUUUUAUCAACAGUGAGUAUGUGUUUUAGUUCAGAUUGUUUAUAAGAUCUCUUAACUAUAAAUUUAUAACUAAGAACAUAUAUAUAUGUAGUAGGAUUUAAGUGGCAAGUCUCAAAAUGUAACAGAACCUAGUUUUAAUCCUUUCUUUGAUGUGCCAUGUCCAUUUUAUAUUUCCAUAAUUUAGUCAGAAUGUCCUCUAUUACCAUUCUUGAUGCUGGCACAAACCUCAGAACAAGUGCAUUUCUUAACUAAACUUAAAAUCUUUCAGACAAAAAUAAAAUUAAAAAAAAUGUUUGUCAAGAGUUGCUUUUCAAAACCCUUAUUGAUUGGCACAAUUAAUUGCCUUCUAUAUCUUUAAUUUGAUUACAAAUCAGGUUGAAGAUUAUUUUCCCUGCUUAAACCAGUCUGACAGCCCUAUAAUUAUUUCAGUUAUGUUAUUUAAAUGGUGGCCAACUUUUUUCUCUGCAGGACUUUUGGAGCUUUCACAGUGUCCUUAUGCGUACGGGAGAUGAAGAGUAAUUGUAGCUCCUUUCUACAACAUUUAAAAGUCAUUUUAGAAAAGCUUUCAGACCUGUUGAUCCUGCACAGGUUUUUUUAACUACUAUUCUACAUUUUCUUACUGAUGACUGAAACAAAAAUCACCACUCAAAUACCUUCAAGGUUUUCCCAAGGGCACGUUU